UAUUCGAUGUGGAUUUUGUUUAAAAAUAAUAACCAACAACAAUAAAAUAGUUAUAAUAAUUCAAUAACAAAGAGUUGACAUUUGACUAUAAAUUACUACAACUCUUCGUUAGUUGCCAGUGGAACCACGUCAGUACGUCAGAGUCGGAUACAAUUUUAAUUAGCCAUGAAACUUUCAAAUAUUAUUGCAGUAAUUUUCAACAUUUUGUUUUUCAUGGUUUUGACUAUAGCUUCUCCGGUGGAAGCUAAUCCUGCGGUGAGGAGACAUGAUCUGCCAGUUUGCCGUUGUUCGUUGGAUGGUCGCGGAAGUGGGGUUCCACCAAAUGGUUGCGGCUGUGCGAUAAACUGAUAUAGUUUUGACUGGAAAUCCUGGAGUAAAUAGUAAUAAAAAGUAAAUAAUGUAUUAUGAAAAAAUGGAAUAAAAUGACAUUUUAAUUUAUUCUCAGAAA